rnacentral:rRNA from 1 species
AAAUUGAAGAGUUUGAUCAUGGCUCAGAUUGAACGCUGGCGGCAGGCCUAACACAUGCAAGUCGAGCGGAAACGAGUUAUCUGAACCUUCGGGGAACGAUAACGGCGUCGAGCGGCGGACGGGUGAGUAAUGCCUAGGAAAUUGCCCUGAUGUGGGGGAUAACCAUUGGAAACGAUGGCUAAUACCGCAUGAUGCCUACGGGCCAAAGAGGGGGACCUUCGGGCCUCUCGCGUCAGGAUAUGCCUAGGUGGGAUUAGCUAGUUGGUGAGGUAAGGGCUCACCAAGGCGACGAUCCCUAGCUGGUCUGAGAGGAUGAUCAGCCACACUGGAACUGAGACACGGUCCAGACUCCUACGGGAGGCAGCAGUGGGGAAUAUUGCACAAUGGGCGCAAGCCUGAUGCAGCCAUGCCGCGUGUGUGAAGAAGGCCUUCGGGUUGUAAAGCACUUUCAGUCGUGAGGAAGGUAGUGUAGUUAAUAGCUGCAUUAUUUGACGUUAGCGACAGAAGAAGCACCGGCUAACUCCGUGCCAGCAGCCGCGGUAAUACGGAGGGUGCGAGCGUUAAUCGGAAUUACUGGGCGUAAAGCGCAUGCAGGUGGUUUGUUAAGUCAGAU